rnacentral:rRNA from 1 species
UACGGAGGGUGCAAGCAUUAAUCGGAAUAACUGGGCGUAAAGGGCGCGUAGGCGUUUAGGAAAGUUGUAUGUGAAAUUACAUAGCUUAACUAUGUAGCGGCAUACAAAACUUCCUGGAUUGAGGAUAAGUGAGGAAAAGGGAAUUCCACGUGUAGCGGUGAAAUGCGUAGAUAUGUGGAGGAACACCAGAGGCGAAGGCGCUUUUCUAACUUAUACCUGACGCUGAGGCGCGAAAGCAAGGGGAGCAAACAGGAUUAGGUACCCUGGUAGUCCUUGCCGUAAACGAUGCAUACUUGAUGUAUUGGGGCUCAACCCCCGAUGUGUCGAAGCUAACGCGAUAAGUAUGCCGCCUGAGGAGUACAUUCGCAAGGAUGAAACUCAAAAGAAUUGACGGGGACCCGCACAAGCAGUGGAGCAUGUGGUUUAAUUCGAUGCAACGCGAAGAACCUUACCCAGGCUUGACAUGCACACGACAGUAGAGGAAACUCUAUCUUCCGCAAGGACAUGUGCACAGGUGCUGCAUGGCUGUCGUCAGCUCGUGCCGUGAGGUGUUAGGUUAAGUCCUGCAACGAGCGCAACCCUUAUCGUUAGUUGCCAACACGUAAUGGUGGGAACUCUAACGAGACUGCCUGGGUUAACCAGGAGGAAGGUGAGGAUGACGUCAAGUCCGCAUGGCCCUCAUGUCUGGGGCUACACACGUGCUACAAUGGUCGGUACAGAAGGCAGCGAAGCCGAAAGGUGGAGCAAAUCCUAUAAAGCCGAUCCCAGUUCGGAUUGAAGUCUGCAACUUGGCUUCAUGAAGUUGGAAUUGCUAGUAAUGGCGAGUCAGCAACAUCGCCGUGAAUACGUUCCCGGGUCU